rnacentral:rRNA from 1 species
UGGGGAAUAUUGCGCAAUGGGGGAAACCCUGACGCAGCGACGCCGCGUGCGGGAUGAAGGCCUUCGGGUUGUAAACCGCUUUUGAUUGGGAGCAAGCUUUCGGGUGAGUGUACCUUUCGAAUAAGGACCGGCUAAUUACGUGCCAGCAGCCGCGGUAAUACGUAAGGUCCGAGCGUUGUCCGGAAUCAUUGGGCGUAAAGGGUACGUAGGCGGAUAAGCAAGUUAGAAGUGAAAUCCUAUAGCUCAACUAUAGUAAGCUUUUAAAACUGCUCAUCUUGAGGUAUGGAAGGGAAAGUGGAAUUCCUAGUGUAGCGGUGAAAUGCGCAGAUAUUAGGAGGAAUACCGGUGGCGAAGGCGACUUUCUGGCCAUAUACUGACGCUGAGGUACGAAAGCGUGGGUAGCAAACAGG